GGAUAGAUAAGUUGGAAGUGAAAUCCUAUGGCUUAACCAUAGAACUGCUUCCAAAACUGUCUAUCUAGAAUAUGGGAGAGGUAGAUGGAAUUUCUGGUGUAGGGGUAAAAUCCGUAGAGAUCAGAAGGAAUACCGAUUGCGAAGGCGAUCUACUGGAACAUUAUUGACGCUCAGAUGCGAAAGCGUGGGGAGCAAACAGGAUUAGAUACCCUGGUAGUCCACGCCCUAAACGAUGCACACUAGUUGUUGCCUUGCUAGACAAGGCAGUAAUGCAGUUAACACAGUAAGUGUGCCGCCUGGGGAGUACGGUCGCAAGAUUAAAACUCAAAGGAAUAGACGGGGACCCGCACAAGCGGUGGAGCAUGUGGUUUAAUUCGACGAUACGCGAAGAACCUUACCUGGCCUUGACAUAGAGAGAACUUACUAGAGAUAGUUUGGUGCUGGUUUACUAGAACUUUCAUACAGGUGCUGCACGGCUGUCGUCAGCUCGUGUCGUGAGAUGUUGGGUUAAGUCCCGCAACGAGCGCAACCCUCGUGUUUAGUUAAUAACGGUUCGGCCGAUGACUCUAAACAGACUGCCUGGGUAACCAGGAGGAAGGUGAGGACGACGUCAAGUCAUCAUGGCCCUUACGGCCAGGGCUACACACGUGCUACAAUGGGGUAUAC
rnacentral:rRNA from 1 species